UACGUAGGGUGCGAGCGGUAAUCGGAAUUACUGGGCGUAAAGCGUGCGCAGGCGGUUUUGUAAGCCAGAUGUGAAAUCCCCGGGCUUAACCUGGGAAUGGCAUUUGGGACUGCAAGGCUUGAGUGCGGCAGAGGAGACUGGAAUUCCUGGUGUAGCAGUGAAAUGCGUAGAUAUCAGGAGGAAUACCGAUGGCGAAGGCAGGUCUCUGGGCUGACACUGACGCUCAUGCACGAAAGCGUGGGGAGCAAACAGG
rnacentral:rRNA from 1 species